UGCCCAGCAACUCCAGCCCCUACCUCCUCGCGGUACUCGCCGGGGUACGAGCAUGGAAGAUUGGGUACCCAACCCCGGUGGGAGCUCUGGUCGUAUGCCAACAGGGAAGG
rnacentral:ribozyme from 1 species